UACGUAGGGUGCGAGCGUUAAUCGGAAUUACUGGGCGUAAAGCGUGCGCAGGCGGUUUUGUAAGCCAGAUGUGAAAUCCCCGGGCUCAACCUGGGAAUGGCAUUUGGGACUGCAAGGCUGGAGUACGGCAGAGGAGACUGGAAUUCCUGGUGUAGCAGUGAAAUGCGUAGAGAUCAGGAGGAAUACCGAUGGCGAGGGCAGGUCUCUGGGCUGACACUGACGCUCAUGCACGAAAGCGUGGGGAGCAAACAGG
rnacentral:rRNA from 1 species